UUUUUCGCCAAAAGUUAAAAAUUUCCCGCACAUAUUUUGACCGCCCUCUCACUCUCUCUUAUCUGCGUCUCUUCCUCGUCGAAUAAACCCAAACCAAAUUGGAGCUCAGAUUUUUCCCUCUCUCUCAUCUGUCUCUCACUUUUUCUUCUGGCCAGAUUUGUGUGCUUUGGUUGAUGAUUAGAAAUUCCCUAUUUCUCUCAAACCCUCGUCUUCUCCCACAACCCCUCUUUUCCUUUCUCACCGAUCUCAAUGUCACCCACCAAAUUGAGUUUCGAAGAACUUGGUGGCCACUGGGUUGACCUGGAUUGAGGGAUUAUUCUCUUUGGGUAUCUUAAUUUAGUUUCGUCUCUUGUCGAACCCAGUGGGUUUCUCGUGUCGGGCUCAUCCAAACGGAGUGUGGAAGCAGCAGUAGGUUUAAAUUCUACAGGUACAGAUGAUGCAACCGUGGCCUCCAUUCUUUCGAAGAAGCAAAAGCAGAAGCAGAAAAUCAUCAGGCUCUCCGACCUCUGAACCUCCAGAACCCACAUCAACAACCUCCCUUCUUCCAAGCCCAAUCACUCCCAGGACGACCACCCCGAGUUCAUAUACCGCACUUGGAUCUGGUCCAAGUUCGACGAGCUCAUCGAGUCCCUCAUCCAACUCCUCCUUUUGCUGGAAUCCGAUGAAACUCUCAAGGAGGUGGUGUUGGAUACACUGAUGGAGUUUUUGAAGUUGGGAAAUGGAGGAAGGUUUCACUCUGCUAUAUUCCAUAGGUUUCUUCAUAACAUUGUGUACUCUACAACGUGGCCGAAUUUCUUGGUAGACUUGCUUGCAUCAAAGUAUUUCAAAUUCUUCAAACUCUCGAGUGGCCAAUUGGUGUUGAGUCUGAAAUUGUUUACAAGUGACACUUUCCAAUGCAAGUGGAUGUGCUUUUCAUCUUGGUCUAAAGAUUAUUUGAAGUUCCAUUUAGAUAUUCUGAAUAAUAAAUUCAAUGUCAUCUCUCUACACUUAUGCAGGAAAAUGGAUCCUUAUUUACUGGCCACAAUAGCAAAGACAUACAUUUAAUCAUGCUCUGGUAACCUUUUUCCUUUUUCCUUUCCUAUGUGAAAGUCUUUUAGAGUACUAAUUAUGUAUCAGGUCUAUUUAGAAUAGGUAUUGGCUAAUGCAAUCAUGCAUCUUCUGUUGGAGCUCCUUGAACUAGUCACACUUCAGGUAACUAUAUCUUUGUUUCUAUUUUCUUGAUUGUCUUGGUAUUUUGAUUUUUUGUUUUGUUUUCUGCUCUAUUGUUGUUUCAGAGAUAACCCGAUUCCUUCAUGUAACACUACGUUACUGAUGUGGUGAGAUUGAGUGAAUGUGGAUAUCUGUUGCAAAUUUAAGUGCAAUCUACAAGAAGGCAUGGAGGGAAAUGCUGUUGCUAAAACCAUGAAGAAUGUUUCAAGAGGCAUGGUUGUUCUUACAAUUCCAUUUACCGUGGGCUUUCGAAAGCUGUUGGACGAAGGUGAAUGCAGCUGGAUUGAAAUUGAAGUUCUCUAUCAAGAUGAUAGCCCUACCUUGUUAGAUAUCUACUCUUGUGCUCUGUUUUUAAUCUAUCGAGAUAGAAUGAUAUUGUUCAUGUUGCUGAGACAUUUGAGUUUUUAUCUGGUAUGUUAUUCAUGAUGUGAUCUGUUCAUAUACUUGUUGUACUGUUUCGGUUACUUUUCUACUUUGAUUUCUGGGCUUUUGUCCUUCAUGAAGCUGAAGCAAUGUUAAUGUGACAUUUUACUAUAUAUAGGCAUCAAUGGCAUCUAGGAAGUGAUUGAAAGAAGAAAGGGGCAAUUGUCAAUAUUAGCUCUAAUGCAGCUCACCUUCCUUCUGAUACCUGCUUUAUUGUUUAUGUUAUUGUUUAUUAGCUGAAUUGUCAUUAUUAAUUUUAAUCAUUCAAGUUUUGUUGAAAGGAGGAAUUGACUGUAAGCAUGUUUCUUUUAGUUUUUCUCGUUUGUAUUUGGCGAUGGUGAUCCAAAUAAGGAAUUGAAGAAAAGAGAUGGAAGAUGGUAAUGAUCAAGUACUAAGUUUAUUGGUUUGAUGCUUUCAACAAUUUAUUUUUGCUUUCUUUUUAAAAAAAAAAACAAUUUACUUCUUUUCAUUGGUUUUAUGCAGUUAGGUUUCUUCCUCUGAGAACUUAUGUACACUAGUAAUUUAACGGUAUUUGUAACUCUCUCUCCCCUCUCUCCUUUCAAAAGUAACUGGAAUCGUUUCCUGUACAUGGCAUGCCUUGCUGCAAUUAGAAAAUUGUUGCUAGUUAUUUUCUUUGUUUCUUAUAUCCUUACUUUAGCAAGUUCAGUGGAUUGCUAUGAGACAUGAUCUGUUGUGCAGGUAGCUGAUCAGUUCUAUGACAUUCUGCACAAACACUGCGGAAAAGUAGAAGUACACUUUUGGAAACCUAUUUUAUUUAUCUACUCAAUUUGAGUCUUCCACUUCAAAGAAAGAACCUGAAUUAUCUGUGCACUUUUAAACAUCUUAAGGAGGCCAUAACUAUUACUUCUUUUGAUAGCAAAUUUCCAAGUAUAUGCCCUCUGCCUCAUUAUCUCAUUUAAAGAACAAGGACUGUAGAAGCAUGUAGAUCAUUGAGAAUGGAAAUAGCAUUUGACACUAAACUACCACCUAGUUGAUGGAUGAAGUUUUUCUAAUUCAUAUUGUUUAUCUGAUUGCAGUCAUUGCUGUGUGAUCGAAACCCGAACUCUCCAGCAAACAAUUAGAAUGCUAGUGUAGUCUAUCCCAAACUCAAUAUCUUGAAUUAUUUUCAUUUGUAAUUGAGUAUAGCUGGAAGAUUUGAGAUUGUAUUGAACUGAAUAUUGCUAAUUUGAAGAUCAUUUUGGUUGGCAAAGUCAUAUAGCAGUUUGAA